CAGGAAAACAAAUAUGUUUUCCUGGCACUAUAGUGCCAGGAAAACGAGUAUGUUUUCCUGGCACUAUAGUGCCAGGAAAACGAGUAUGUUUUCCUGGCACUAU